UAUGGAAUGCUUUGGCAUCACACUCACCACCUGCUAAUCUAAAUACCUGGUGGCAGCUACCAUUUUCAGCAUUCCAUAAAGAGACUUCAUUACAGCCAGCAGCAACAUAAACCAGUGGCCUUGACACAAUCGGCAUGGAGUUCAAAGGUGGAAUAUAUAAACCCAUUUUCUCCACAGGGCAUACCGUCGAGUAUUGCCAUGAAUUAACAGGUAAGAGAAACCUUAG
rnacentral:misc_RNA from 1 species